rnacentral:rRNA from 1 species
UACGUAGGCAGCAAGCGUUGUUCGGAGUUACUGGGCGUAAAGGGUGCGUAGGCGGUCCUAUAAGUAUGGUGUGAAAUCUCCCGGCUUAACUGGGAGGGUGCGCUAUAGACUGUGGGGCUAGAGUGUGGGAGAGGAAAGUGGAAUUCCUGGUGUAGCGGUGAAAUGCGUAGAUAUCAGGAGGAACACCGGUGGUGUAAACGGCUUCUGGACCAUAACUGACGCUGAGGCACGAAAGCGUGGGUAGCAAACAGG